rnacentral:tRNA from 1 species
UGUUCUGUGGUUUAGUUGGUUAAAGCGCCGUACUAGCAAUACAGAGUUAUGGGUUCGGAUCCUAUCAAAAUGA